GGUCCAGACUCCUACGGGAGGCAGCAGUGGGGAAUAUUGCACAAUGGGGGAAACCCUGAUGCAGCAACGCCGCGUGGGUGAAGGAGCGUUUCGGCGCGUAAAGCCCUGUCAGCGGGGAAGAAGAAAGACGGUACCCGACCAAGAAGCCCCGGCUAACUACGUGCCAGCAGCCGCGGUAAUACGUAGGGGGCAAGCGUUAUCCGGAUUUACUGGGUGUAAAGGGAGCGUAGACGGCAGCGCAAGUCUGGAGUGAAAUCCCAUGGCUUAACCAUGGAACUGCUUUGGAAACUGUGCAGCUGGAGUGCAGGAGAGGUAAGCGGAAUUCCUAGUGUAGCGGUGAAAUGCGUAGAUAUUAGGAGGAACACCAGUGGCGAAGGCGGCUUACUGGACUGUAACUGACGUUGAGGCUCGAAAGCGUGGGGAGCAAACAGGAUUAGAUACCCUCGUA
rnacentral:rRNA from 1 species